rnacentral:lncRNA from 1 species
GAGUAAUUCGUUUAAAGGUGACUUAAUCAUAACAAUUAAAAUAAUCUAAUUAUUCUAUUUUUAAAUAUUAAUAAUAUAAUGAAAUCUCUAUUGUUGACUCUCAAGAAUCUGAUAUUCGUUUUAAUCCAACACCAGGUGAUUCGUCGUCCCAUUCGAUUAAUAUUCGAUCAACCAUCUAAAAUUCGAAUAAUAUGGGAAACCCAUUCUGCCGCAACCAAACUGAACACAUUUAGAUUAAACGGGAUUAAAUUUUUUAACAGAUUUAUUGCUAAGAAAGUUAACAAUGAAAAAAUUUCAUGAUCACACAACUGCAGUAUAUACUUAAUGCUUUGUAAGAAAUUUCCAAUCGAAUGUCAAAGACUUUGAUCAGCGUAGAAUAAAACAUGCGAAAGACAGACAAAACAAGGAGGCAGAUUAUUUAGUAACUGAAAAAUCAUACCAUUUUUUAUAAUCAAUCCUCAAUUGCUCGGAUUGUCCGAAUGGCCGCGUGAUAUCGCAUCUGCUUAAUACCUUGGAGGAUCCGGAUAUGAACCCGGAUCCUCAAACACUGUUAAUCAGGAGGAAUCCGGGCCCAGCCCGUUGAAUUCCAUCCUUCAACCUUCCGGUUGACUCCACCAUGGGUGUUGACCAGUCUCUAAAA